rnacentral:rRNA from 1 species
UGAAGAGUUUGAUCAUGGCUCAGAUUGAACGCUGGCGGCAGGCCUAACACAUGCAAGUCGAACGGUAACAGGAAGCAGCUUGCUGCUUUGCUGACGAGUGGCGGACGGGUGAGUAAUGUCUGGGAAACUGCCUGAUGGAGGGGGAUAACUACUGGAAACGGUGGCUAAUACCGCAUAACGUCGCAAGACCAAAGAGGGGGACCUUCGGGCCUCUUGCCAUCAGAUGUGCCCAGAUGGGAUUAGCUUGUUGGUGAGGUAACGGCUCACCAAGGCGACGAUCCCUAGCUGGUCUGAGAGGAUGACCAGCCACACUGGAACUGAGACACGGUCCAGACUCCUACGGGAGGCAGCAGUGGGGAAUAUUGCACAAUGGGCGCAAGCCUGAUGCAGCCAUGCCGCGUGUAUGAAGAAGGCCUUCGGGUUGUAAAGUACUUUCAGCGGGGAGGAAGGUGUUGUGGUUAAUAACCGCAGCAAUUGACGUUACCCGCAGAAGAAGCACCGGCUAACU